GACGAACGCUGGCGGCGUGCUUAACACAUGCAAGUCGAACGAAGUGGCGAACGGGUGAGUAACGCGUAAUCAACCUGCCCUUCAGAGGGGGACAACAGUUGGAAACGACUGCUAAUACCGCAUACUGAAGGAGGGGAUUGCGUCUGAUUAGCUCGUUGGAGGGGUAACGGCCCACCAAGGCUAUGACGCGUAACUGGUCUGAGAGGAUGCUCAGGCACAUUGGAACGGAGACACGGUCCAAACUCCUACGGGAGGCAGCAGUAGGGAAGAUUGCGCAAUGGGGGAAACCCUGACGCAGCAACGCCGCGUGGAGGAUGACACUUUUCGGAGCGUAUACUCCUUUUGUUAGGGAAGCGGUACCUAACGAAUAAGCACCGGCUAACUCCGUGCCAGCAGCCGCGGUAAUAC
rnacentral:rRNA from 1 species